UGGCUUACACAUUAAUUAUACUUUUGUUCUAAUUAUUUCUCAUGUGUGAUGGUAUCCUCUUCACGUGGUCUGCAAAAUGAAGGAAUAAUUCAAGCCAGAUAUCAUAUGAAAAAAAAAAAUAGAAAACAAGAUCAUCACAAUAGGACAAUCCUAGUACAUAUUUCAAUAUUAUCAAUGCAUGCAUUGAGGGUAUGAUAUGUACAUAAAGAAAUGUAAUAAUCAUUUUAUAGUUAUUUUGGUUGCAAAAUAAAAGAGAAUGUUUAAGAUAAUUGUAAUUCUAUAUUUAGUAUUUAGCACCUGCUCAGCUUACUGGUUAUGGUUAACUCAAGGUGGCUAGCAGUCAGCUGUUGGUACACAGCAGUUGCAGCUAAUUAUCAAGCUAUUGCUAAUUUUGGAAUUUAAAUUAUGAUUAACAUGUAAAAUGAAAGCCAAAAACAUGAUGUUUUUUUUUUACUAUUACAUGAAAAAAUAAUAUUUAUUAUCUGGAAAUAAAUUAAUUUAUAAUAUUAUUCUUAAAAAUUAUUGUAAUAUAAAUAUAAAUUGGAAAUAAAUAAUAAUAUUAGAUUUGAUAAUGACUAAAGAAACAAAAUAAACAAAACACACAAUACAUAAUACAAUUAGAGCCUUGCCCAUUAACAAAUGAGAAAGGAGGGAGGAUUAAGAAUAGAGCAUACAAUUUUUUUAAAAAGAACAAGACUGUUAGCAUGAAAAUCAAAAGAAGGAAAACAAGCUUUACAUAAUCAUGGCUAUAGCAUGACAAUUGAAAAAGGAAGAUGGGUUUUUUUAUAGGAUCAUGUCUAUGUAACUUGGCAAUUAAAUUACUUAUAUGUCUAUAAACAUCUAGUGCUUGUGUUCAAAGAGUAGAUUUUCUAUCAUUUAGUUAUUUUUUUCAAAUGUUGUUGUACAUAUAUACAAGCAUUUUCAAACAUAAUUACCAAAUGCCACAAACUCAGUGGUUAAGACUACUACCACCAAAUGCUAAUCCCAAACAAUGAACCAAACAGUGCCUCGUUAUUUGGUAGUGGUGUAAGCAACGAGAAAGAAGGUAACCAUAAGGGGUUGGGUUAGUGGUGGUGGUAGUGAUAGUUACAAAAGAGAUUGUUUAAGUAUUGAAGUAAAUAGAGUCCAGUUGUUUACAUAAAGUUUUGUAUACUAUUAAAUCCACGUCGGUUGUGAAAAUGGGUAAUGUGCCCCUUAUAUGGGCCAUAAACACUCCUCCCCCUUGAGCUAGCUUUUGGGGUGAGUUAGUCCAGAUCCAUAUUUAACAUGGUAUGAAAGCCUCUCCAUCCGAUGUUGGGCCUCCUAUAAAUAUAUCACGCACCAGUAAAAUUCUAGGCGUGAGGGCGUGUGUCGAAUCUCACAUCCGUUGUGGAAAGGGGUAAUGUGCCCUUUAUAUGGGCCAUAGGAACUCAAGGGCCCACAGGCACUCCUCCCCUUAAGCUAACUUUUGGAAUGAGUUAGGCCUAACCCAAAUUUAAGAUGGUAUCAGUGUCUCCCCAUCCGAUAUUGGACCUCCUAUAAAUGUCACGCACCAAUAAAAUUCUGGACGUGAGGGGGUGUGUUGAAUCCCACAUCGGUUGUGGAAAGAGGUAAUAUAUUCCUUAUAUGGGCCAUAGGCACUCCUCCCCCUUGAGCUAGCUUUCGGAGUGAGUUAAGUCUGACUCAAAUUUAACAUGAUAUAAGAGGCUCCCAUCCGAUGUUGGGCCUCCUAUAAAUAUGUCAUAUUAUAGUAAAAUUCUGGACGUGAGGGGUGUGUUGAAUCCCACAUCAGUUGUGGAAAGGGGUAAUGUGUCCCUUAUAUGGGCUAUAGGCACUCUUCCCCCCUUGAGCUAGUUUUUGGGUGAGUUAAACCUGGUCCAAAUUUAACAUAUACAAUAGGCAAUAAAAAGCAAUUGCGUACUUGCAUUACACUACAAAUAUUUGCUUUGUUCAAUCAAAUGAAUCAAUGAAUCUAACCUAGUAAUGUCAAUCGGUCUUCACCAGUUCAAUUUUAAAACAACAUGCAGACAUCCAACAGGCUGAACUGAACCGGAACUGGUUAGAAACUCACAAUUCCAGUUGAAGGUACAAGGGGAUCAAUUCCAAAACUGCGUGCCCCUUUGGAUUCCGAAUUUGGUUUGAUCAAAUCAAUGGUUGAUUUUUCUUUUCAAAAUUUUUUAUUUUCCACUAAAAAGAAAAUUCCACUUUUGGCCUAAUCUUGGUAUGGCAAUUUUGAUCAAUCUAGUUUUGCAUCACAUUUUGAUUUCAGUUUUGAACCAGUCUUUGUCAGGGUUACCUUUAUGCAUUCAACAGGCAAAGAACUAAUUCCCUUUUUCUUCACUUCCUUGGCUGGAAAGGAUUUUCCCUUGAGAAAACAUGAACACUAUUUAGGAGAAAGCUUUUGGUGGUAUGGUAUGGGUUUCUUAAGUAAUAAAUUUGUUUGGGAGCAAAGUUUUCUAAGGAUGAGCAGGUUGGAAUUAUCCAUUUACUUCCAUUAAAAGAUAACCUUUCAUUUAUUAAAGCUCACUGCUAGGAUAUCAUUUGCAGUUAGCAAUUUAGAUAUUUACCAUAGUAAAUAAUUUGCAGUCAGCAGUUACAACUGGGUGUAUUCUAGAGGCCCAAAACCAAGGAGCUACAAGGUGUAUUCUAGAAAAGGGAAGAAACAGAAUAUACAGGUGGGAGAGGUACAAUUGGCAACUUCUACAAAUGAUGGAAAAAUGCCACCUGGCUGGCAUCAGUUGCAAUAGAAGAUUCCUCUCCAGCAUUUACAGAAUGGGAUGGCAGGAUAAAGGCAUCUUAGGAAUCUUAAGCAUUCUCUAAGAAAACAAGAGAAGGGCAUAAUACCAUUCGCUGCACUGGAGAGUACUCCAAAAAGCUGAUUGCAGUCAUUUAGAGUUGGGCUAAUUACACCAAAAAAAAAAAAAAAAAAACCCUUACGGUUAUGUGCAUUUUUCAAGUGAGGGUUUGAGGUUAACUUUGUCACAAAAAGGACCACAUGCUUUUUGUUGCUAGCAAAAUAAGACUUCUCCAUUAACUCCAUUAAAUUUUGAUGGCGUUAAAUUAAAUAUUUAAUUAAAAAUAAUAUAAAUUUCAAAAAAAAAGUGCCUUGCUUUACAAUCAGGCCUAAGGUUCACUUUGGAGCAAAAAGAAUCAUGUAUUUUUGUCAUUAGCAAAGUAUGAAUUUUUCAUUAAUCUCAUUAAAUUUUGAUGAUAAGGUUUAAUUUAAAAUAAUAUUUAAUUAUACAUAUGAGUUCUAUUUGCAACUAUUAAAAAAUAAAAGAAAAGGUAUGUCUAAUUCAAGUCACCUUCAAAUCUACUCCAAUUAGUGAGCUGUCGAUGCUCAUAAGCUCGCUCAGAAGUGGAAACACUAUGUGCUAGCGAUUCCUAGGGUUUGGCUCCCAGUUGAACUCACUCUCUAGCUCUUUUAGCUUGUUUUUCUAUUGAUCCACCAUUUGGCUCCAAACUUAUCUAGCUAAUGAUUGUGGAUUGUCAUUUAAAAGGCUUAAAAAUCUCAUGUGCUGAAGAAAGGAAGAAUGAGGAAGGAAGUAGAUUAAUAGAGGUAGUUCACCGGUUCUUCUCAUUUUUGUUAAAUUUCUAAAUUUUUAUUUUAAAUAGGAUCUACUUUAAUCAUUAGAUAAACAUUUUAAUUAUUUAUUUAAUAUCCUAUCAUCAAAAAUCUAUAGUAUUAACAGAAAAGGCAUCACUUGGCUAAUCGCAAAAAUGUAUAGGUGUCUACUUUAUCACAAACUUAACCUUAGACCCAAAUUUGAAAAUGCACGUAACUAGGAUAGGUUUUUGUAAUUUUCCUUUUAGCGUUCUUGAUGUUCUAUUGAGCUUUAUUCCCGGUUUUUAUCAGUUUUUUCUUGCUGAUUUACUUGGGGUAGUGUUUGUGAGCAUGUUUCUGUAAUUAUUUUGCCAUGAAGAAUACAAUUUUAUUCCUUCCAAAUCCUCUUUAAACUUUAUUUUACACUCUUUACUCUAUUAGAUGCAACCAAGAAAUUCACAUUCAGAUGUUCAUAAAGCUUAUAAUUAUGUUUCAGUUUUAAGUAUGAUUUAUUCAGGAAGUUAUAGAAUUCUUACCUAGUGCUUUUAUUGUACUUUUAGAGUCGCCUUGCGUUCCUAUUUGAAUAACUUAGCUAUUGGUCCAUUUACUCAAGUCUCGAGUAAUUUUGGUAAGUUUUAGGGUUCUACUUGUAUGUUUAUUUGAAUAAAUAAGCUGCUGGUCCAUUAUUAAGUCUCAGGAUAUAAUCAUGACUUGUCCAAUGUGUUGAAGGAUCAACAAAUUAUCAAUUAUGAGUCACCUAAAUACCUAUUUAUUUAUUGUUCAGUUUGUUUAGUCAAUAAAAAUUUGAAAACUUAUGCUUUUUUGAAUUUUUGCAAUGCAACUCAACCCUGUAUGUGUGAUUCCAAUGGAAACCCAUGGUGUGAUGCAUAAGAAAACUUUUUAUGAAACCUAAACCAUAAUUUUACCAUUCAUAGCCACAAAUCUUCUCCAUUUGGUUAAUUUUGCUUCCCAAUUCUAUACUUUCAUAAUACCUUAUUUUCCACCUAAAUUCCAACUCAUUCAGGCUUCCAAUUUAGCUGUUAGUGAGCGGCCUGCAAGCUCCAACAUCAUCACCAUAUGCAUAACUUAAUAAUGCUCAUUGUUCUAACCUCAAAAUGCACAAGAUGCUAACCAGUCAUUUAAUGUGCAACUACGCAGUUCCCUUAAUGGAAGUGAACCAAUAUACGUAAAGACAGGAGAAGAGGACUAAGAUUUGAAAUUAUUAUUCCAAUGUAUACUUGAUACCACUGGAAACAUAACAACAUACUCAUAGAAGAAAUAUUACAUUUAAUCCCAAAUGGUGGUAAGCAUUUACCAACAAUAACAUUAUUUUCCAAUUCAUCAACAGGAUUGGAAAACAUACUGAUUAACAUGUCUUUGAUUUGUCAUUAAGGAACACACAAUAAUUUAAAAUUAAAUCAAAACUCAAAAAUGACUGUCAAGUGUUCCUUGAGAUUUAACAUACCUUUUAGCUCGUCUUUUGGUCUCAUCAACACCAAUGCAUGCCUUUAGCUCCUCAAUGCUCAAGAUGGCCCCAAGCUUAAAUUGUGAUAAAUUGCAACCAUCAAGCAAAUUAGGAGUUUUGACCAUUCCCG
rnacentral:lncRNA from 1 species